AGGUGAUAUGAACCGUUAUAACCGGCGAUUUCCGAAUGGGGAAACCCAGUGUGUUUCGACACACUAUCAUUAACUGAAUCCAUAGGUUAAUGAGGCGAACCGGGGGAACUGAAACAUCUAAGUACCCCGAGGAAAAGAAAUCAACCGAGAUUCCCCCAGUAGCGGCGAGCGAACGGGGAGGAGCCCAGAGCCUGAAUCAGUGUGUGUGUUAGUGGAAGCGUCUGGAAAGGCGCGCGAUACAGGGUGACAGCCCCGUACACAAAAAUGCACAUGCUGUGAGCUCGAUGAGUAGGGCGGGACACGUGGUAUCCUGUCUGAAUAUGGGGGGACCAUCCUCCAAGGCUAAAUACUCCUGACUGACCGAUAGUGAACCAGUACCGUGAGGGAAAGGCGAAAAGAACCCCGGCGAGGGGAGUGAAAAAGAACCUGAAACCGUGUACGUACAAGCAGUGGGAGCCUCUUAAUGGGGUGACUGCGUACCUUUUGUAUAAUGGGUCAGCGACUUAUAUUCUGUAGCAAGGUUAACCGAAUAGGGGAGCCGAAGGGAAACCGAGUCUUAACUGGGCGUUAAGUUGCAGGGUAUAGACCCGAAACCCGGUGAUCUAGCCAUGGGCAGGUUGAAGGUUGGGUAACACUAACUGGAGGACCGAACCGACUAAUGUUGAAAAAUUAGCGGAUGACUUGUGGCUGGGGGUGAAAGGCCAAUCAAACCGGGAGAUAGCUGGUUCUCCCCGAAAGCUAUUUAGGUAGCGCCUCGUGAAUUCAUCUCCGGGGGUAGAGCACUGUUUCGGCAAGGGGGUCAUCCCGACUUACCAACCCGAUGCAAACUGCGAAUACCGGAGAAUGUUAUCACGGGAGACACACGGCGGGUGCUAACGUCCGUCGUGAAGAGGGAAACAACCCAGACCGCCAGCUAAGGUCCCAAAGUCAUGGUUAAGUGGGAAACGAUGUGGGAAGGCCCAGACAGCCAGGAUGUUGGCUUAGAAGCAGCCAUCAUUUAAAGAAAGCGUAAUAGCUCACUGGUCGAGUCGGCCUGCGCGGAAGAUGUAACGGGGCUAAACCAUGCACCGAAGCUGCGGCAGCGAC
rnacentral:rRNA from 1 species